UAAGUAGGGGGCAAGCGUUAUCCGGAUUUACUGGGUGUAAAGGGAGCGUAGACGGCAUGGCAAGUCAGAUGUGAAAGCCCGGGGCUCAACCCCGGGACUGCAUUUGAAACUGUCAGGCUGGAGUGCAGGAGAGGUAAGUGGAAUUCCUAGUGUAGCGGUGAAAUGCGUAGAUAUAUGGAGGAACACCGGUGGCGAAAGCGGCUCUCUGGCCUGUAACUGACACUGAGGCUCGAAAGCGUGGGGAGCAAACAGG
rnacentral:rRNA from 1 species